rnacentral:rRNA from 1 species
UACGAAGGGUGCAAACGUUGCUCGGAAUUAUUGGGCGUAAAGCGCACGUAGGCGGCAUUGCAAGUCGGAUGUGAAAUCUUAUGGCUUAACCAUAAAAGUGCAUCCGAAACUGCAGUGCUUGAGUACUUAAGAGGAUCGCGGAAUUCCCGGUGUAGAGGUGAAAUUCGUAGAUAUUGGGAAGAACACCGGUGGCGAAGGCGGCGACCUGGUCCUUGACUGACGCUGAGGCGCGAAAGCGUGGGGAGCAAACAGG